UACGGGAGGCAGCAGUGGGGAAUAUUGCACAAUGGGCGCAAGCGUGAUCCAGCCAUGCCGCGUGAGUGAUGAAGGCCCUAGGGUAGUAAAGCUCUUUCACCGGUGAAGAUAAUGACGGUACCCGGAGAAGAAGCCCCGGCUAACUUCGUGCCAGCAGCCGCGGUAAUACGAAGGGGGCUAGCGUUGUUCGGAUUUACUGGGCGUAAAGCGCGCGUAGGCGGAUUGGUCAGUCAGGGGUGAAAUCCCAGGGCUCAACCCUGGAACUGCCUUUAAUACUGCCAGUCUUGAGUAUGAGAGAGGUGUGUGGAAUUCCGAGUGUAGAGGUGAAAUUCGUAGAUAUUCGGAGGAACACCAGUGGCGAAGGCGACUCACUGGUCCAUUACUGACGCUGAGGCGCGAAAGCGUGG
rnacentral:rRNA from 1 species